rnacentral:tRNA from 1 species
GCCAGGAUAGUUUAAAGGAAAAAGCAUGAAACUCAUAUUUUCAGGAUGGAAGUUCGAUUCUCCCUCCCGGCU